AAAAAAGGUAAGCUACUAAGAGCGAAUGGUGGAUGCCUUGACUGGUAAAGGCGAUGAAGGACGUACUAGACUGCGAUAAGCUACGGGGAGCUGUCAAGAAGCUUUGAUCCGUAGAUUUCCGAAUGGGGCAACCCAAUGUAUAGAGAUAUACAUUACCUAUAUAGGAGCGAACGAGGGGAAUUGAAACAUCUUAGUACCCUCAGGAAAAGAAAUCAAUAGAGAUUGCGUCAGUAGCGGCGAGCGAAAGCGCAAGAGGGCAAACCCAGUGCUUGCACUGGGGGUUGUAGGACUGCAAUAUGCAAGAGGUAAGUUUAGCAGAACAUUCUGGAAAGUAUAACCAUAGAGGGUGAUAGUCCCGUAUGCGAAAAACAAACCUUAGCUAGCAGUAUCCUGAGUAGGGCGGGACACGAGGAAUCCUGUCUGAAUCCGGGUCGACCACGAUCCAACCCUAAAUACUAAUACCAGAUCGAUAGUGCACAAGUACCGUGAGGGAAAGGUGAAAAGAACUGAGGUGAUCAGAGUGAAAUAGAACCUGAAACCAUUUGCUUACAAUCAUUCAGAGCCCUAUGUAGCAAUACAGGGUGAUGGACUGCCUUUUGCAUAAUGAGCCUGCGAGUUGUGGUGUCUGGCAAGGUUAAGCAAACGCGAAGCCGUAGCGAAAGCGAGUCUGAAUAGGGCGCUUAGUCAGAUGCUGCAGACCCGAAACGAAGUGAUCUAUCCAUGAGCAAGUUGAAGCUAGUGUAAGAACUAGUGGAGGACUGAACCCAUAGGCGUUGAAAAGCCCCGGGAUGACUUGUGGAUAGGGGUGAAAGGCCAAUCAAACUUCGUGAUAGCUGGUUCUCUCCGAAAUAUAUUUAGGUAUAGCGUUGUGUCGUAAUAUAAGGGGGUAGAGCACUGAAUGGGCUAGGGCAUACACCAAUGUACCAAACCCUAUCAAACUCCGAAUACCUUAUAUGUAAUCACAGCAGUCAGGCGGCGAGUGAUAAAAUCCGUCGUCAAGAGGGAAACAACCCAGACUACCAGCUAAGGUCCCUAAAUCUUACUUAAGUGGAAAACGAUGUGAAGUUACUUAAACAACCAGGAGGUUGGCUUAGAAGCAGCCAUCCUUUAAAGAAAGCGUAAUAGCUCACUGGUCUAGUGAUUUUGCGCGGAAAAUAUAACGGGGCUAAAGUAAGUACCGAAGCUGUAGACUUGCACACAACUUAGAUUAUUUAAGUUUAGAAUAUGAGAAACUAAGUUAUAUGUUUAGUUAUAUUUUUACUGAUUUUUAUAGAGUAAAGAUAGAAAUAAAACUUAGUAAAAUCAGUAAAAAUAUUCUUAGACUAAAGUUAAGUAGUUUAAGUUGUGUGCAAGUGGUAGGAGAGCGUUCUAUUUGCGUCGAAGGUAUACCGGUAAGGAGUGCUGGAGCGAAUAGAAGUGAGCAUGCAGGCAUGAGUAGCGAUAAUUAAUGUGAGAAUCAUUAACGCCGUAAACCCAAGGUUUCCUACGCGAUGCUCGUCAUCGUAGGGUUAGUCGGGUCCUAAGUCGAGUCCGAAAGGGGUAGACGAUGGCAAAUUGGUUAAUAUUCCAAUACCAACAUUAGUGUGCGAUGGAAGGACGCUUAGGGCUAAGGGGGCUAGCGGAUGGAAGUGCU
rnacentral:rRNA from 1 species